rnacentral:misc_RNA from 1 species
CACGAUAUCUCGGGUCUUCCUCGUGAUGAAGAGAAGAUUCAUUGUCGACUAUAGAAAGAAGAAGACGUAGCAAUAACAGAAUAAUCAAACGAUAAAAAGAAACUGAUCAUUUUGGUAAAAUACGAUCUUUACUUUGCUCCUUGAAUUUAUUCAUCAGAAUCCUAUCGUCCUCUGACAAUUGAAGUUUACGCAUCUGUUCAGUGUCCACGUCGUUCGUUGAAUCCGUGUCUGUGAUCUUCUGAAGAACUCUGAACGAUCGAGAUUGAACUGGACCAGAAUCCGAUUGCUGAACUUGCACAGCAUUAGACGCGUUAUUCCUAAGAAUCGGUUGCGAGUACGAGGUAUUCGAAGUAGGUAUACCAGCAGGCUUCUUAUCACUUCCCUCGAUCAUAAUUGGUAUAAUGUACCCGCCACCUGUCGAUUGUUGAGGCAUCUGAUUCUGGAUCUGAUUCUGAACUUGAUUCUGAACUUGAUUCUGAACUUGAUUCUGCGCCUGGUUCUGAACCUGAUUCUGAGUCGGCUGUCCCCAGCGUUGCUGAUGAUGCGGACUCGCUUGCUUGAAUUGAUGGUGACCAGGCUCUGGUUUUACGUCGAACACAGACGGCCUAUCCUCAAUCUGGACACAAACGAUUAUUGCAUGUUAAUACACUAUGGUUUCCAUACUUCAUUUUACAAUUCUUUCUUCUCUAAUUAUUCUUUAGACUCAAAGUUUUAAAAAAUUAGAGAUUCGAAAGAUCUGUUGCAACAAGGAUGCAGCUCCACUUUCUAAUAAUUUGAAUAAACCAACAAAAACUAAUUGAAAAUCGAAUCAUCUUGAAAAUGUAUGAAAUAAAUUCACGGUCAACUGAUAUUCAUAAUAAUAAAUUUUUGUAUUUUCGAAUAUGAAACCUACGCCUCUCUUUUUCUUCUAAUAAACCUGAC